rnacentral:rRNA from 1 species
AGUGAACGCUGGCGGUAGGCCUAACACAUGCAAGUCGAACGGCAGCACAGUAAGAGCUUGCUCUUACGGGUGGCGAGUGGCGGACGGGUGAGGAAUACAUCGGAAUCUACUUUUUCGUGGGGGAUAACGUAGGGAAACUUACGCUAAUGCCGCAUACGACCUACGGGUGAAAGCAGGGGAUCUUCGGACCUUGCGCGAUUGAACGAGCCGAUGUCGGAUUAGCUAGUUGGCGGGGUAAAGGCCCACCAAGACGACGAUCCGUAGCUGGUCUGAGAGGAUGAUCAGCCACACUGGAACUGAGACACGGUCCAGACUCCUACGGGAGGCAGCAGUGGGGAAUAUUGGACAAUGGGCGCAAGCCUGAUCCAGCCAUACCGCGUGGGUGAAGAAGGCCUUCGGGUUGUAAAGCCCUUUUGUUGGGAAAGAAAAGCAGCAGGUUAAUACCCCGCUGUUCUGACGGUACCCAAAGAAUAAGCACCGGCUAACUUCGUG